rnacentral:tRNA from 1 species
GCUGGCGUAGCUCAGUGGUAGAGCGACUGAUUUGUAAUCAGUUGGUCGGGGGUUCGACUCCUCUCGCCAGCCCCA